rnacentral:rRNA from 1 species
AGUGAACGCUGGCGGUAGGCCUAACACAUGCAAGUCGAACGGAAACACAGUAAGAUCUUGCUCUUACGGGUGGCGAGUGGCGGACGGGUGAGGAAUACAUCGGAAUCUACUUUUUCGUGGGGGAUAACGUAGGGAAACUUAUGCUAAUACCGCAUACGACCUACGGGUGAAAGCAGGGGAUCUUCGGACCUUUCGCGAUUGAAUGAGCCGAUGUCGGAUUAGCUAGUUGGCGGGGUAAAGGCCCACCAAGGCGACGAUCCGUAGCUGGUCUGAGAGGAUGAUCGGCCACACUGGAACUGAGACACGGUCCAGACUCCUACGGGAGGCAGCAGUGGGGAAUAUUGGGCAAUGGGCGAAAGCCUGACCCAGCCAUACCGCGUGGGUGAAGAAGGCCUUCGGGUUGUAAAGCCCUUUUGUUGGGAAAGAAAAGCAGCAGGUUAAUACGCCGCUGUUCUGACGGUACCCAAAGAAUAAGCACCGGCUAACUUCGUG